CUACUGUGCCAUGUAGGGGGGCAGACAAUGGAAUUAUUAUGGAUGGAUGAUGGAUGGAUGAUGGAUGAUGGAUGGAUGGAUGGAUGGAUGAUGGAUGGAUGAUGGAUGGAUGAUGGAUGGAUGGAUGGAUGAUGGAUGGAUGGAUGGAUGUCAAGUCUGAUGCUUUUCAACACUGUUGCUAAUCUUUAACUC
rnacentral:lncRNA from 1 species